rnacentral:rRNA from 1 species
GAUGAACGCUGGCGGCGUGCCUAAUACAUGCAAGUCGAGCGAAUGGAUUAAGAGCUUGCUCUUAUGAAGUUAGCGGCGGACGGGUGAGUAACACGUGGGUAACCUGCCCAUAAGACUGGGAUAACUCCGGGAAACCGGGGCUAAUACCGGAUAACAUUUUGAACCGCAUGGUUCGAAAUUGAAAGGCGGCUUCGGCUGUCACUUAUGGAUGGACCCGCGUCGCAUUAGCUAGGUGGUGAGGUAACGGCUCACCAAGGCAACGAUGCGUAGCCGAACGGAGAGGGUGAUCGGCCACACUGGGGCUGAGACACGGCCCAGACUCCUACGGGAAGGAGCAGUAGGGAAUCUUCCGCAAUGGACGAAAGUCUGACGGAGCAACGCCGCGUGAGUGAUGAAGGCUUUCGGGUCGUAAAACUCUGUUGUUAGGGAAGAACAAGUGCUAGUUGAAUAAGCUGGCACCUUGACGGUACCUAACCAGAAAGCCACGGCUAACUACGUGCCAGCCGCCGCCGUAA